CACUCGCUGUGUCUGGUGCUUGCUUCAGGAAGGAAAAGGAGUUUGGAAAAACAGCAUUUCAAGCCCAGACUUUGCUAACCAGGAGGAGACCAUCGCGUCUGCCAGAUAAUGUUGUGUACAUAAAACUAAUUGCCAUGGAACAACCAUGCUUUUGGAGAUACACUGCUGUUUUUCCAAAGUCUCGGCACUUACUAUCAAAGCUGAACUUCCACCAGAAGCUGCUGAGCAGGGUGGACCAACCCUUGGGAUCAGCAUCAGCUCUCGUCUCUCCCAUUAUGCCUCAAUCCUGCAACUUUGUUCUGAUCAUGAGGGCUGCCUUACCAACAAAUUCACCGCCGCAGCUUUUCCAUCUGAUUAAUACUAGGAAGAAGGACAAGUGACCUCAGUGGGGUAUGGCCAACAUGGUCCAGCCUGGCAGUACGUACCUGGGCUUGGAAAAGAAAAUCUCAACUUUGCAGGUCGGUCAUUGCAACCCAAACCCAGAGAAGGAAAAAGGAAAAGCUGCAACCUGCGUGGCCUGUGAACAACACAGAUCCUCCUGCAAACCUCCGGGAGCAAAACUGUUGUUUAGAAGAAAGGAAAUUCCAGCCCUCCCAAGAUGAUCUGUGAAGAUUCUGUAUUGAGAUUUUUAGUCAGAGUGUGAAGAAGGAAUGAGACUCUUUUGCCUCCUAAAAUAAAGAGCAGAUAUAGUCCAAAAGAGAGAUGGCACUCUCCAGUUGUCCGCCUUGGCUGGCCAGUCACCCCAUGCUGUGCCCAGCUGGAGGAGGACACGGCACUGGCACCAGCACUGCCUCGAGGUUACUGCAGAAGGGAGUUACUGAAGUGACUGAUCCGAUCUUUGUCACGUUGUACGAAUGACCAGAGGUCACAGCCGUUGUCCAGCUGACCUGGUGGCUGUCACCUGCAGUGGGCAACUGCGCAUGUCUAGGAGAAUGCAACAAGAGCAAGGUGCCUCCAUUUAAAACCACCCUGAGGAGCAGCACGGCCCUGCGGUGACACCAUCUCUGCACGAGGAGACCGAGCCGCUGCCUGCGAUACCCCGGGGUGAGCAUGAGGACAAGGCUGUAAACGUCUCUGCAUCUGCGAUUCAUCUACUCCUUCACCCGUUUCCAAGCGAGGCUCACCACAAACGACUGCAGUGAGACACAGCUAACGAUGUCAGAUGGGAUCCUCCUGUUUCCCAGAUGAUCUGACUUCACCAACGUCCACGGCUGCGUAGAUGAACACACGGGAUGAGUGACAAGUUAAUCUUUGGAACAGCUUAUUGCUGCUGAUGUCCAGGGAAGCUUCCUUCUGAUUUACUGCGUGCCAAAGGGAGGGCAGCAGGAGCUGCUUUGGCAGGAGUGAGCCCCGGGAGCGCUGCCUGCUGCAGACAUCCCCGGUCCCGCACUGCUGCCCGACAGCAGCAUUGGCUCUGGCCCCCCCAAACCUCAGCAGGCGCCUGCUGACUCCAGCGGCGGAGGCAGACCCGUGGGGCUGAGGAGGCAGCUGGCAGAUGGAUCGGGAAUGGCCUCAGACGGGUUUGGACCUGCACCCAGGUGGUUUCCCAGCUCUGAUUUUCCUAACUCCGCACAGGGAAUGCCCCGGAGUAGCUCUUUGCUGCACCUCAUCCCUCGAAGGCAAUCAGCCACCCCAAGUAUGCGGUCUGCUCCCGCACCGGCUGAAUGUCUUUGCAGUAAAUACCGAGGGUCUGAUCCCGCUCUGGGUUUCACAGGUGUGGCCCCAUGUGCAGGGAGGCAGUCAUUCCCUAGGACCUUGCACAGGAGAACCGGCUCCGGUGCGGGAUGUCUGGGGAGCCCCGGCCCCCCCGAGCUGGAGCGAUGGCGGCACUGCCAGGUCUGUCCCACCCUGGAGGAAGCCUGCUGACCAGAAACAGACCCGGGACACUGCAAAUCAGCUGUGACAAGCCAGGCCAGCCCCAGCUGUGUCACCUGGAAAGUCUGAGUGGACGGAGGUGGCGCGGAGGGGAGACGUGGUCAUCCUUGGUGCACGGUCCGCAGGGCCCUCGUGGGAGGCGGCACAGCCUCAUGCUCUGCGCAAGCUCUGCCUUCCCCUCCCACCCUGGCACUGUGUUAUUUGUGCAGAAGAGCUAAAUACCCAUGCUGUGCAGAGGCAGCGAUAUUCCUAUAGAUACACGAUUUCUGUAACGCGUAACAGCCUCCUUGGGAGGAACAAUUUGUUUCUAGGAUAGUGCCAGGAAGAAGAGAAAUCCAGCCCUGGAUGUCUUCCAGUUUGAUUUUUCUCCCACUAGGUACUGUGGGUUCAGCCUGCAAGCGUUUUUUGAUUACUUUUUAUUUUGGAGCUGUUUGGAGCAGGACUGGCAUCGGUCGGAGGGGACUGGCACACGGGUGUGCUGCAUGGGGCCGUGGCAGGGGUGCCGGAGCCAGGAUUCGCCAGGACGUGCUCUUCAGGGAAACAUGUUGAAUUGGAUCCUGCAAGCCUCUAAACCCCAUUGCACCAGCUCUACACCUGGGUAUUAGGAGUCCAAGUACAGUCUAAAUAUUAAACUAUACUGAGGUGCUCGAAAGAACCUCCCACCCAGAAAGUGGCCACUGUGGAGCAAAGAAGGGUCAAUGCCAAAGGAUGGAGGAAGCUCUUCCUACCAACCCUAUCUACUUUUCUUUGAAGAACUGCACAGUGUGAAGAGGUGGUAUGCAAUAGGUGAGGGAACAUUUCAUUGCCCAAGAUCUAGACGUGAGCACUAGAGGCGUACCAGGGUGGCUGAAGAAAUGUUAGAGUAUCUUUGCUCUCGACUGUGGCCCAGGGUGACCUGUCCAUCUCUGCACAGAGAUGCCUGCAUCUUCAGUGCAGGGACACCCACAGCGCAGGGACAGGCUGUUCCACAGCACACAUGGAAGUAUCCAGAAUAUUCGAUGUGUGUUGGAAAUGGAAAGCUUGUGUCCCGACCCCGCCGCGCAGGUGGGGAGGGUGGCAAGGGCGAGACGGCCAGCAGCCCCCACUCUCAGGCAUGGUACAUGUCACUGGAGGCUGCUGCUGUGCUGGGCACUGUACAAGCGCAGCGGCGAUUCCUGCCCUGGAGAACGGGCAAUCUAAAGAGACCAUGUAGAUGAAGGGUGGGGUGAUAGUGGAAAUACUACCCCUGCUUUACCUGUGGGGAUAGUACCAGGGGGAGUGUGAAUGACUUGCCGGGAGGCGGACAGCAACUCCAGGACAGAUCGGAGAGCGCAACUGAGGCCACGGUCCUGAUGAGCAGUGAUUUACACACCGUGAAUGGAGAGCUGGUUAUUAUCUACAUGCUGACGCCAAAGGAUGUGCUGGCUUUUCAUAAAGAGAGAUAAUCAAUAACAACUGCCAUCCAUUUUGAUUAUUAACUUUCUGCAAGCCGCCUUCAGCAUCCUGCCACUGACUGCCCGCAUUUCGAUGGGAUGAAUGAGCCCCACAUCAUCUCCUUUGUGUGCUCAGCUAGCGCAGUUCCAGCGCUCUUUAGGAUCCAGUUGGAUGAAAAGAGCUAUUUGAAUGUAAAUUAAUUGCCAUUACAAUUCUGUUUUUCUGCUUUUCGGCAGAGGAGAUAACUUCAGCCUUUUCACAGAGAACAAAACCAUCAAAAGUGAACUUGUCAAUUCAAUCUCUUCAUAUAAUUAUAUUCUGAGGAUUCAGACAGUUGGGUGGUUUCUGCAUUAUUUCUCCCCUGAGGAGGAUUGCUCCCAUCUUCUAAGCACAAGCAGACUGUGCGCACCAGGGAGAACAAAGUCAGUCUCCUCCUGCUCCCAUCGGUACUGGAGCUCACCAGAUCUGCCCGAUUCCCUCUUGGGCUCACUGGGACACAAGACCAGAGCUGGUCAUGGCUAGAGCUGCUGGCCGCCCUGCCCCGUGAGCCAGCAGGCCUCCGCAGGGGGGAAGGUGGAGAUGUAAAUUGUACGGAUUUAGCUGGCUAUGGAGAACAUCGUCUUAAGUUGCAGGUGUAAGUAGGUGUGAUCUACAGGCUGAAGAGAUUAAAAGCAACCAAAGGACUCUGCAGAAGCAGGUAUUAGAGCCAGUCGCUGAGACUGCUGGGGCUGGUUUCUGUGCUGCUAUGUUUGUGCAUCUGCGGCUGCUGGCAGGGCGAUGGCAGCGGUGAACUGGAGCACUUACACCAUCUGCUAACUAACACCCCUUUGCUAUGCCACUGCAUUGAGGCUUAUGUCACUUCUGAACUCUGCCUAUUGAAAUUCUGGCUCUGUACUGCAGAGGCGAAAUGGAGAAAUGGGGGAAAUGAUUAAAGAAAAUACAGAGCAGCUUCUGUCCGGGAGAGGCUGAGCAGAUGCUGCACCAGCGAUGGCUGAGGCACGGCCGCAGGUGCCCAGCCCCGAGGGGAGCGCCCGGCUGCGUGCCGGUAACAUCCCCAUGGCUCCGGAGGAGGACGGUGCUGGAUCAGGCUUUACUUCUCCUGUGUGAAACCACAAGAGAGAUCGAGGUGGGCAGGAGGAGUGCCAAGGCGCAUGCAAAGCAGGAGCUGGACCCCAGCGUGGCUUUGCUUUGUAGAUGGCCUCUCCUCAGUGCAGGCGGAGUUGUGUGGGCACAGGCAGAGCAGGGACGGGUCCGAAAAGCUGUUCUGUGAGAGGAAAGAGGGGCGGCUGGCGCAGGGGACAGCAGGGUGACGCCGGGGACCAGCGUGUCGGAGCUGCGGUGUCUGCACGAAACCUUUUCACGCCUCUUCCCCUCACGGUUGCUGCUAUCAGAUGUUUUUGUCUCUGCUGCAGUCAGCAAUCUCGGGCAGUGGUUAAGUUGUGUGUCAUGGUUUUAAGCCGCACGGAAAACAAACUGUGUCAGCCCUCGGCGUGCCCGGUCAUGAUGCUCUGCCUCAGCACCGCGGUUCUCAGAAGCGGCUGUUUACCGUGCAGGGAGGAAACCUGCGUCCCGCUCCCUCCUCCUGCGGCUCCCGAGCCCUCUCCCUGCUGAUUUAGUGCCCUCCCUCCGCUGGGAAAGCGAGCGUGCCGACGCCGCUCGUCACCCAGCGCUGCCAGGCCCGGGCAGCGGUG